GGUUAAGCGACCAAGCGUACACGGUGGAUGCCCUGGCAGUCAGAGGCGAUGAAGGACGUGCUAAUCUGCGAUAAGCGCCGGUAAGGUGAUAUGAACCGUUAUAACCGGCGAUGUCCGAAUGGGGAAACCCAGUGUGACUCGUCACACUAUCAUUAACUGAAUCCAUAGGUUAAUGAGGCGAACCGGGGGAACUGAAACAUCUAAGUACCCCGAGGAAAAGAAAUCAACCGAGAUUCCCCCAGUAGCGGCGAGCGAACGGGGAGGAGCCCAGAGCCUGAAUCAGCAUGUGUGUUAGUGGAAGCGUCUGGAAAGGCGCGCGAUACAGGGUGAGAGCCCCGUACACAAAAGCGCAUAUGCUGUGAGCUCGAUGAGUAGGGCGGGACACGUGGUAUCCUGUCUGAAUAUGGGGGGACCAUCCUCCAAGGCUAAAUACUCCUGACUGACCGAUAGUGAACCAGUACCGUGAGGGAAAGGCGAAAAGAACCCCGGCGAGGGGAG
rnacentral:rRNA from 1 species